rnacentral:misc_RNA from 1 species
GAUGAAGAACGCAGCGAAAUGCGAUAAGUAAUGCGAAUUGCAGAUCUCAGUGAAUCAUCGAAUCUUUGAACGCACAUUGCGCCCGUCAGUAUUCUGGCGGGCAUGCCUGUUCGAGCGUCAUUACGCCCCUCAAGUCCCCUGUGGACUUGGUGUUGGGGAUCGGCGAGGCUGGUUUUCCAGCACAGCCGUCCCUUAAAUUAAUUGGCGGUCUCGCCGUGGCCCUCCUCUGCGCAGUAGUAAAACACUCGCAACAGGAGCCCGGCGCGGUCCACUGCCGUAAAACCCCCCAACUUUUUAUAGUUGACCUCGAAUCAGGUAGGACUACCCGCUGAACUUAAGCAUAUCAAUAAGCGGAGGA